rnacentral:rRNA from 1 species
UACCUCCGUCCGGGAUUAUAGGUCCGGCCGACCGAAUCCGCAGGACCAAGGCAGAGCGAAGACGCACACAAAUUCGUUGAUUCCCGAUGGUAUUAACUGCCGCAUGCACUGUUGCCUUUCGAGCUGAUCGCUUGCAUUGGCUGGAUUUUGCCCAUGCAAACAAGGGAGCACUAGUCACGGAACAAAUGCUGGCAUGCAGCUAGACUCCUUCGCAUGCAGCGGCUGGAAAGUAAUCACUGGAACAACAAUCGAGGGACAGCGGCCUAAUAAAAGUGUACACGGCUGUGUUGCUAAACGGCCUAAUAUAUUCGGACGGAGGUAUUACCACAAGCACCUCUCUCUUUAUUAAAUACGUGCCACAUAAGCAAAGUUGUAUUGGAGUGUGUGAUGUUACUCCUAAGUUCCUCCCCACUGUGACCAGCCU